AUGAAUAUUUCCCUACUCUCCAAAUGGCUCUGGCGUAUUCAGACCGAUGCGGGUGGUCUGUGGCUUGAGAUUAUCCACGCAAAGUAUCUUCGCGGUCAGCCACUGGCCUUCGCUCCCAGAUCUGGAGGAUCCCAAUUCUGGCAAUCGGUGAUCCGUCUGAUGCCGGUCUUGCGCAUUGGGACCUCUAUUAAAGUGGGCUCCGGGUCCGGCACAUUAUUCUGGUUAGAUAGGUGGGCAGGGACUCGCCCAUUUGCGGAAUGCUUCUACGCCUUAUUCUCGAUCUGUGUUCGCCCACAGCUCUCUGUAGUUGUGGCUUUAGCUGACUUGGGCGCCAUUGCCUUUCGCCGUACCUUCGGGGCGGUGGAGCUCGAGCAAUGGAACGAAUUGCUCGAGAGUAUUUCUAUCCACCCCCCUCCCUUGAGCCCGACUCGCUAUCUUGGCACCUGGAGCCAAGUGGCAGAUUCUCGACUAGGUCUCUUUACCAGGCGAUUGUUCCCACCCCUGGCCCGGUGGAACUAUCGGUGCUCUGGGAGAUCAAACUCCCUUUGA
rnacentral:rRNA from 1 species